AAACCCGUGCCAAAAAACCCCACGAUCGAUGCCUCGUGCCCACAGCAGAUCGUUCUCCGCCACCAACCAGCCCUUCGCACGCCCGCCGCUCUCCUCUGCCCCAACCCCAACCCCGCCGCCGCCUCAAUCCCACCGCCGCCGGCCUCCUCCUCCUCUAGCGCCGCCGCUCCAGCCCCUCACCUUCUCAGCCUGGAUCCGCGCGACAAGGUGUGGGGCUAUGGCAGAGAAGGCUCCAUAUCGCGCGACAAGGUGAGGGGGCGCCCAGAUCCGCAGUGGCACCACCGCGCCCUCGUCUACCUGGCCCUCGAGGUCGGCCAUGGAGGUCCGGCCCGACCAAUGGAUGGAUGGGGAUGAAACCCUAGCCUAACACCCACCCAUGGAUGGAUGGGGAUGGGGCGGCGACGGCGGCGGCGGCGGCCUUCUCUCGGUGCUUGCUGAUGUGGUGGACAUCGACGUCGGUGACGGGUUGCAGCACGUAGACAUCAAAGGCUGCGGGUGUGACGGAGGAGCACCAUGGCGGGCGUGCAGGCCAUGGCUCGCUAUGGAAGGCCCUUCCCUUCCCUCUCUCUGUUCGGGCCAUGCUCAGGCAGUCUUUUCUCUUCUCUUCCCACAAAAAAAGGUUAAGGAAGCACUCCUCAAUUUUUUUGGGGUUCAACGGAACAGCAGGAGUGUGGAGAAUUAAGGCACUCGAGGUCUCUGGAAUAUGGAUGGAGAGAAGGGACUGAACAGGCUGGGGCUGGGACUUCACCUGCAGGUUCAACUACCUGAGGAAGGGUAGAUCGAUUGUGGCAAGACAGCCAUGCUGCUAGACAAAGGAAGUUAACGAGAGCUGGGAGAGGAUCCUGCUCUGUCCCCAGCUCAUCAAGGACAUGGACACAUGGUACACAUGAUGGUUAAUUCCGCUCUUUGCGUAUUCAGGUUUACAUCCAGGCUAUUGGGGAGCAACUCAUGGAGAUGAUGAUAAUCAAGGGAGCCAUCUAUGUGACUUCCAACCACGGGGACAACUAGAAGGUAGCCAUGCAUGAGACCUAUCUCGGCCACUCUGAACAGCAGAGAGGGAUGGAUUCAAUUAAAGUCUGGAAGGAACCAGUCAUGCCUUCUUACUCACAAAAAAGGCAUGCUUUCUGACUUCUCUGUUUCUCAAGUUUUUUUCAGCAUAUAGUACAUGCCAUGCUAAAUAACUUGGCCACUCUCACUGUAGUUCAUUCUGUUAAAGUUAUCUCAGGAAAGAAAUGGUUUGUGGCUGGGACAUCUGAUGGUGUGAUCCAUGUGUACAAUUACGACAACAGAAUACAAAAACUCAGAAGUUUCAGAGCCGCCAGUGAUUGCUUCAUCACAUCAAUGGCCGUCAAUCCAACCCGUUCGUAUGUACUGUCAUCGGCUUAUCAUGAUAUAAAGCUCUGGGACUGGAGCAAGGGCUGGGAGUGCACAAAAUCAUUCGUCCAAGAACACACCGAUACUGUAAGUCAGGUCGCAUUCAACCCAAUGGACACCAACAUUUUGUGCUUCAGAUGAUCACACAGUAAAGGUUUGGAGCAUUGGUUCUCCCGAAUCAAAAUAUACUUUGUAUGGGCAUCUGGACAAAGUGAACUGCCUUGAUUUCUUCAAAUGUAAUGAUCGACAGUAUUUGAUUACUGGCUCUGAUGAUCACACUGCUAAGAUAUGGGACAUGGAAGAAAAGGCUUGUGUUCAUACAAUGGAAGCUUUCGUGUCUCCAGUAACUUCUGUCAUUGCCCUCGCCGAUAGCCCAUACCUAAUUACAGGUUCAAAAGAUGGCUCCGUUCAUUUCUGGAGCUCCGGUGAAUUCAGGUUCCACUAUCAAACAAUACAGCAUCCAAGAAACAAAAACUGGCUCAAACGUGCUUUUGCCACUUCACACAACCCAAACCUUCCAGCUGCCACACAAAACAGAAAGAGAUUUAGCCUUACAAACCGUGUUUACUUUGCUCUCACCUCUGCUCCUUACUGAUGUUUUUGGUUUUCUUUUUUGCAAGUGAUUUCUGCAUGGUUCCUAGGCUGGAGAGAAUCGUUAACUUUGGCUCUGGUGGAGCUAUUUGGGGUCUCGGACGUUUCAUGGGGUCAAGAAGGAUUGUGAUCGGACAAGAGUACACAGUGUCAAUCAUGGCCAUCGACAAUGAAGACCAAAACGCUGUCAUGUUCGAGACAAAACAUAUUUCUCUGAUGAGAUAGUAGAUAAGGAAGUAUUCACUAGCUAGCUGAACAUUAUGUUGCAUUCUGUCCAGUGCUAAAUCUAGAGUGCAAGGGUAGAUGAUCAAGACAAACAGAAAGUCAUAUAUAUAUUUUUAACCAUCCGUAUGCAGCUGUCCUUGUCGUGUGAAGAUCUGAGUAUAUUGAUAAAGAUGAUGAUAAUUAAGUUUAUCUGUAUAAUUGAGAAUUUUUGGAUGGAUAUAAUUAAGAUUUAGUUUUGCUCAUUUUCUUAAACUUGUUUCAGAAGUAUAUAAUGAGAUGGAGUGUGCUGGUUGUACUCGGGUAAAAAAGCUAAAGAAAUGUUGCAUGAUGCCUCUGUUACAUUAGAACGUACACGAAGGGGAGGUAAGUGUUUCAUUUGCACUUUUGUGUCUGUCUCUUCUUCUUUUCUAGGGUGUAUUGGUUGAUGCGUUUUGGCAGGUUACUGGAGUUGGAAACCCGAUAACUCUGAAGUUGCCCAUACUAUGAUGCCUAUAACUUCAACAUUCCCUAAUUUUCUAUAACAUGCUCGAUGGAUGCCUUGUAAAAGUUAAAAGUAAUGUGUUGCUUUUAUUUGUUCCGAAAUUUGCACGUGAUUAGUUCUCCAAAUCUCCUAAUCUCAUUACCCUCGAAGAUGUCAUUUUGCAUUACAUUGCCCCAUUAGGAUUUUUCAAUUUCCUUAUAAUUUCACUGCCAACUAUGAUUAAAAGAACUUAAAAUAGCACCUUCAUAAGGAAGGUUAGGCCUCAACUUCUAUGAAGUAUAACAAGGUGUUCAACAGAUGUUUUUCUUUCUCAUUUCAAAUUCGAAGGUGUGGUUUUUAAUAUAGUAGUUGAUACAUUGGCCCUGUUUGAAAUGGUAGAACAUCAGCAGUCACUUAGCACAAAGAAAUUUAUAGUUCAGCAGUGCAUUUUACUGCACAUUACAUGUGACAAAUUCAGAGAAUCUAGAGAAUCUCCCAGUUGCAUUUUCCUCAUGGGAGACUCUUGUAGAAUAAUAAUAAUGGGGCCGACAAACACUGACAAAGAUUGCUCCUUAGUUGCUUGACCCUGGAUUUUGAGGUUGGGCAGAAGUCACAUCGUUUGGUGUCAAAAUAUUUAUGGCUAUAGAUUGCAGGAACCCAAACAAACAAAUAUCCAUUUAUGUUCAUUUCCUAAAUAUUUAUCUCUACUAUUAUAGGGGAGUACAUACGUCUUUUCGUUUCAUUUCGUCUCGUAACUCCUUUGUCCAACGAUGUCGGCAGCCCCGGAUCAGGUUUCUGUUUUGCUUAUCUUGGUAAGACCAAUGCUGCAGAUCUGGUCUCGGUUUCGUUUAUCUUAGUAAGACCAAUGCUACAUGGUUCCAGUCCGCGUCUCUGUAGUUAUUUUUGGCUGAAGGUGUGCAUGAGUUAAGCUAGAACCGUGGAAGUUGUCCCUUUUUUAUAAAUAAUUUCAUGUGGAAAAUUAUUCUUUUUGAGGGAAACAAGGUCAAGAAUUCACAUUACUGGUUGGCUGUGUAUAUAUAGUAAGUUUGCAUGUUAUACCGGUUAGCAGGACUUCACAGAAAUUUAUUAGAAGGAGUUGCAACAGCCUUGAUCAAAUAUUAUUUUUAUUAUCCCUUCUUGGUUUUAAACUGGGGGCGGGGAGAAGAUGACGGGAAAUUUUUGGGAUGAGAAAAUUGGAGAGAGAGAGGAGAUGCUACUGCUCCUGAUUGUUGCUGCCGAUGUCUACAGGAGAGAGAUUGGGAAUGCGAUUUAUCAUAUGCACAUCCAUGUACAGCUACUCAUGGAUUGCUCUGAAUUCCUGGUAAUUAUCGAAGGAUAGAGGAUUAUUUAGUUUAGGUGUUUAGGUGCACACGUCCUAUGUGAAACCAAAAUUAAGAGCUGAAAAUAAUAUAUUGUGUGCACAAUAAGAGAUGCAAGUAUUUGACCAAUCUGAAUUGGUUAACUCGGUUCUAAAAAAAUGAAUUGAUUAACUCAAGAGCAACAAUACCAUGUAUGACUAAUAACAAAUACCAAGAUAAGCUGGGCACUGAAGCCAUAUUGAGUUACUGACACAACCCCAUGAUGAAUGAGAUGUGAACCAAGUCUUGAUACACGUGACACAACUCUGUAGCAAACUUGCUACAAUAGUUACUUUGGUUUCUGAAGCUUAGUGUAUAGGAUUUCUGGGCACCGGAGCCAUACUGACACAGCCCCAUAAAGAAUCUUCCACCAUGCACUUCAUUUGACCAAUAUGUAGUUUAUAUUCAAGGGUUCAUGUGCUGGAGAGAUAAAUCAUUGUAAUGUUGACUAUUGUAUACUGCUUUGGAACCUUGCCGAGCGCGAAUCUGCAUACGUGUGUUAUUUUCUGAUCCCACAAUUAUUGUUUUAAGAGAAUACAUGAUUGACCACGUUUAUCCAGUUGGUACAUGUACGUUCAUUAAGUGUUUUUUCGGCUUUCUUUCAGAUUAUGCAUGGAGCCGGACGCAAAUACUGAAGGUGUUAUAGUUUAAGACUUUAGGUGGUCUAAUACUUCAUGUAUGGGGCCAUGGGAGCACAAAAGGAACUAGCUAAAUUUUGGGUGGAGAUGGAUGGUUUUGCAAGCGGAGGAUGCCAGUGAUUGUGUCUACAUCACACCACUGCAUGUCCACUACACCAUAAGUGUGCCAUCUUCUACUUCCAUAGAUUUUUGGCCUUCCAAUGCUGCAACUAUGGGUCUCCACUCUCUUUUUUUACAGUAUAUGGGCGUCCUAUUAGCAGUCAUUUGUGACUUCAAAUGUUUUUGAAUUUUAGAAAUUAGAAAUGAUCAUUGCCGACAAUGAACGAAUAAAAACGGAGAUUUUGAAUCUUAGCGAGUCAAUGGGCAAUACCGUACCCACUACAUUGCCUGGCACACAGCUGGAAGGAUAUUCCAUCCUUGCCUUUCAUCCUUUGGUACAGAAGCGUGGGUACUAACUGUGCUGAAAGGUAGGCCAAUAUUGAUGAGUUGAAGGAGAGAAAUAACUACCACACCACCCAGCAACUCGCACCUUCCAGUUAUGUUAUUUGUUUAUGCAGGGUUGUACUGGUUAGUAGUUAGUAUAUGAAAAAGCAUGUUUAUGCUCCUUUUUUUCUCAUUUCCAGGAAAUAGUUCAUGUUGUAUGUGUUGCUGAAUUUUUGUUUUGGUGAUAUAGAGGUACUAUCUCAACCGGGCUCAAGCUCGGCCACACUGUUUCACUGUAGCUGCUUAUCUGAGUCUCUAUCAUCUUCUUCGCCUUCAGUUCAGAAAUCCUCUCGGUUUCCUUCUCUGCUCCCCUUCCUUGUGCUCUCUGACCCGAAUAUUGGUUGAUGUGGAUCUUGUGAUGCAAGCGUCGAUCUAUCGCUCUUGUGACGUCAGCCAUCAAGCUAUGGCUCUUGUGACACCGGCCAUGGAGCUGGGGCAAGAUUGUUUGGUUGUGAUGUUCAUAGUGAUGUGGUAUUGUCAUGCUCUAAGGAGAGAUUCAGAGAAAAUUAUAGAAGUUAGUAUUAGAUGAUAAUAAUGUCAUGUCGGAAUACAUGUUAGCUACACAGGUGUACCCUGCAAGAAAUUACUUUACAAUGGAAAUGAACUGCGACAUCCCUAAAAAUAGACUUCAGUCUUGGGAGUUAAGAAUUGUUGUGGUGUUUCUCUGAAGCGGUAUGUCAUGUCUGAAUGCUUUCUUAAUUUAGGUGUACAUGUAGAUAAGAGAAAAAACUGAAACACACUAAUUCUAAGAUCAGGUUUGGGCAUACAAAUGGCUCUCAAUUAUAUAGAAAAGCAGAAAUAUGUACUGUCGUAGCAUAUGUUCUGGUUGAGGGUGAACAUGUUAUGUAUAGGAGUAUCCAUUGACAACAAUAGAAAGGUUCUGAUUUUGGAUUUUGUCAAGUUCUGUUUGAGAUUGAAUUAUACUUCCACUGCACUAUUUUUUGUUGUUAAUUUCGAAAUUUUUGUCAUGAAUUUUGGACAUCCAUAAGUGUUUUGGAAUUGUUAAGGGUUGUCAGCAAAUAUUUUAUUAUACUAACACUUAUAGGAUUAUUAAAUACUAACACUUGAUUAGAAUUAUCCAAAAUUCACGCCACAUCAACUAGAUGUUAGUUUAUAAGAUAUUAGUUGUAUCAUUGCUCUCCAUGCAUACUAAGUUGCCACUUCGCAUCCUGCCAAAACCUAAUCCUCUUAUUCUCUAGCUAAAGUUGGGCUCCUUAAGAAAAUAUGAUACUUCUACUUCGACACAAAAAUAGUGGUAAUGACUAUCUUUUCUAUAAACAUGAAAUUUGGUGUGCAUUAUGUUUAUAUACACAAUGACAAAGAAAGCUAAAGGGUUGUGGUAAUGCACGGGCAUUCAAAUUUGAAAGCAUAAUAAAUGUGUUGGUUAACACUUCAUCAUCAAUUUAAAGAUCAAACAAUAUGAGUGGAAUCAAUCAUUCCUUCUAUAUUGUUUUUUCUAUAUAUCUCCCAAACAAACAAAGUGAGUUUGUUCUUGAUUUUUUUACAGAUCUACAUAUUAACAUACCACUUUAUAUACGACGUAGGCUCCGGCGAGAAAUACCUCGCUACGAUGGGAAUGGGAGGGUCCUGCAGGAAAAGGGAAGGGUGCAUCGUGGGGUGGGUUUUUUGUGUAGGGACCAUGUGUCAGAGAUAACAUGGCCGAUAGUCUGGACAAACGCAUUUCUUCCUCAUAUAUGGUGUGAUUCGUCGGAACCUGGACUGUUCAGAUGGUUGAAUUUUGGGGAGCCUGCUAGCCACCCGUUUAAUGUAUGAACAUACACAAUGAGCGAUAAAUGAGAUUCAACCUUGAAGACGACCUUAACCACUGGUUUGAUUCAUUUGUAUGCACUGUAGCCCGUAGCAACGCACGGGCAUUCUACUAGUAUAUGAAUAGGUGGGCACACGCCCAGAAGAGCAAAACAUACACGACAUCACGCCUAGCAAUCAACACGCGCCUUCACACGUCACAUCACGCGCACAACAGAUUGAAGGCAGAUCGACACAAGCCAAUGACAACCAGUUGCAUCGGCAAGGUCGACGCCUCCCCAGGACGCCCAGCACAUCAAAGGCCCGAAGAAGAAACAACAAAAACAUCAUCAAAUUUGGGUAACAACAUAUCCACACAUGUCGAGGACGAUCAGUUGCACCGGCAAGAUCGGCAGGACACCCGGCGUAUCCAAGGGAAUGGCAAGACGACCGACACAUCGAAGGCCUGUAGAAGGAACAAUAGAAACAUCAUCUACUAUGGGUAGUAUAUAUAACUGCUUGAUGUCUGCUCAAAUCUUCCCAUCACAGCUUUCUUCGCAACUUCCUUACAAACACCCUAUUUUCAUGUUCAUUGUUUAGUUAGAACAUUUUUUAAACCAAAAUUUUAUUGGUGCAUUAUCAGAUGAAUCACUCUUUUUUAUAAUUGUUUUGAAGGCAACAACCUAUGGCGUACAAGAAGUUGAGUGAGCUAACCACAAGAGGACACACAUUGAAUAAUAAAGCCAAAGUAAUGAGAAUGUGGGAUUCAAUCAACCCUUCACCUGAUGAACUUAUAAGCAUUGAUAUGAUCUAGAUGGAUGAGCAGGUAUUUUCUUCACAUUAUAACAAUGGUAUUUCUUCUACUAUCAAAAUUAUUUCUAAGAUUAUCUUCAUUCAGUUUUGAAGGGUGAUACAAUUCAUGCUACUAUCUAGAAGAAUCUAAUGGAAACUUAUAGAUCGAAGAUCAACGAGGGUUCCAUAUAUGCUUUUAGCAAUUUUAAAGUUGUAGAUCCGACAAAAUAUCGCCCAGUCAACGAAGAAACUAAAAACAAUUCUAUACAAAACAGACCUAACGAAGAUGAAAGGUUCCUCGGAUAAUUUUCCAGAUUAGUACUUCGAGUUUGCUAGCAAAGAUACCCUACAAGAACAGCUAGAAAAAUACCAACAAUGCUCAGAUGUCAUUGGGUUCUUACCAAGAUUAAACCAAUAGAAUCAAGGAUGACAACAACAAAACAACAACUUUAGAUAUACGUGAGAUCGGAAUUCUUAUGCGAGAAUAAGUGUAUAUCUAUGCGUCAACUUUUCAUUAAUAAGGAUUUGAUGGAUGAUGAGGCGGACAUGUUAAAACAAGAAUCAAAUAAACAGAAUGAGCCAGUUAAAAAGCAAAUGUGAGCUUACCAAGAACACAUGCGAGUUGGUCCCUGCGAAAUAGGAUCCAGAAGAUAAAACGGGAGUACAGAACCUCAGAAGGAGCAUCAACAUAAAAAUACAUCAACAAGUGUCGGUAGCAGAAAAAUAAGGCGGAAAUCUAUUGUAUUAUCAGACUUGGAAGAUGAAGAAAAUGAAAACAAUAAAUCUGGAAAAUAAGAAAAAGAGUGCCCAAAAAUACCUGAAGUGUUAGUGCAAAAGCCAAACCUUGAACAUGGAGGCUCAGUGUUGGCUACGCCAAAGAUAAAAGUACUGUUCAUGCAGCCACAAGGAUGACAUGAAGUUAAAGUCUGGGAAUAUGGAGAGUUUGAGACUAAACGUAUUGAUGUAAAAUUUGAGGACACAAGUAGUCAAUUGCAAGAUCAAGUAUGCCAAACAAGAGCCAUGUGAGAGGAAGGACAUUUUCAAAAAAUUGUUCGAGUCAGUAGUUUACCCGCAGAAGCCGGAGUAUAUGCUUAAUAGUUAGCAUGUUUUCAUAUAUGAUCUACAUAUGUAUGAAUAAUAUGACAGUUUGUUUUUUGAACAAUUCUAUUGUACACUAUUCAGAAGAAGAAUGAGCGGCGCAUUCAUUUGGUCUUAAUCAA